rnacentral:rRNA from 1 species
CUACAUGAAGCUGGAAUCGCUAGUAAUCNCGGAUCNGAAUGCCGCGGUGAAUACGUUCCCGGGUCUUGUACACACCGCCCGUCACACCAUGGGAGUCGGAAAUGCCCGAAGUCUGUGACCCAACCUACGGGAGGGAGCAGCCGAAGGCAGGUCGGAUGACUGGGUGAAGUCGUAACAAGGUAGC